AUGGCGGCCUAUCGGCGUGAGGUGGAUAUCAUUGCCGGUCACUUCAAGGGUUAUCAGGUCGAGCACAUUGAUCAACGCAAGAAUGAAGCGGCGGACGCUUUAAGCCGGCUCGGGUCCCAGCGUAAACCGGUGCCGCCUAAUGUUUUUCUUGAUGUUCUGCAUAAUCCAUCGGUCAAGAUACCAACGAAGGAGGAUCUGGCUAUUCCUGGCCCGGAAGCUCAAUUGGUGGUGGUUCUUCAUGCUAUCCCAUAUUGUACAGUGUCGUACCUGGCGUAUAUGAACCGGGGCAAGUUACCAGAGGACGAAGUUUUGGCCAGGCAGAUAAUCUAG
rnacentral:rRNA from 1 species